UACGUAGGGGGCUAGCGUUGUCCGGAAUCAUUGGGCGUAAAGCGCGCGUAGGCGGCCCGGUAAGUCCGCUGUGAAAGUCAAAGGCUCAACCUUUGAAUGUCAGCGGAUACUGCCGGGCUAGAGUCCGGAAGAGGCGAGUGGAACUCCUGGUGUAGCGGUGGAAUGCGCAGAUAUCAGGAAGAACACCCGUGGCGAAGGCGGCUCUCUGGAACGCAACUGACGCUGAGACGCGAAAGCGUGGGGAGCAAACAGG
rnacentral:rRNA from 1 species